rnacentral:rRNA from 1 species
GACGAACGCUGGCGGCGUGCCUAAUACAUGCGAGUAGAACGCUGAAGGAGGAGCUUGCUUCUCUGGAUGAGUUGCGAACGGGUGAGUAACGCGUAGGUAACCUGCCUGGUAGCGGGGGAUAACUAUUGGAAACGAUAGCUAAUACCGCAUAAUAGUAGAUGUUGCAUGACAUUUGCUUAAAAGGUGCAAUUGCCUCACUACCAGAUGGACCUGCGUUGUAUUAGCUAGUUGGUGGGGUAACGGCUCACCAAGGCGACGAUACAUAGCCGACCUGAGAGGGUGAUCGGCCACACUGGGACUGAGACACGGCCCAGACUCCUACGGGAGGCAGCAGUAGGGAAUCUUCGGCAAUGGACGGAAGUCUGACCGAGCAACGCCGCGUGAGUGAAGAAGGUUUUCGGAUCGUAAAGCUCUGUUGUAAGAGAAGAACGAGUGUGAGAGUGGAAAGUUCACACUGUGACGGUAUCUUACCAGAAAGGGACGGCUAACUACGUG